UUUAUAUCCAAUCUCAUUUACAUCACCUUAUAAUUCACCCUCAGAUAGGGUAAGGCUGUUCUAAAAACAAAUUCACCCUCAGAUAGAGUCAAGGCCUGUUCUGCGGACAACAGAGGCUGCAACAAUACCUCGUUCAACCUCCUAUUCCAUUAAAAUGUAAUUAAAUAACUAUUUGGAAGCAAUUAAAAUUUUUUAUAGCCAAUCCCAUUUCAUCACCUUGCAAUUCCCUCUCAGAUAGGGUCAGGGCCUCUUCUGCUGACACCAUAGGCCCAAUAAAUGUAUUGUUUAAUGUAGACGG